GACGAACGCUGGCGGCGUGCCUAAUACAUGCAAGUCGAGCGGACCGGAUUGGGGCUUGCCUUGAUUCGGUCAACGGCGGACGGGUGAGUAACACGUGGGCAACCUGCCCGCAAGACCGGGAUAACUCCGGGAAACCGGAGCUAAUACCGGAUAACACCGAAGACCGCAUGGUCUUCGGUUGAAAGGCGGCCUUUGGGCUGUCACUUGCGGAUGGGCCCGAGGCGCAUUAGCUAGUUGGUGAGGUAACGGCUCACCAAGGCGACGAUGCGUAGCCGGCCUGAGAGGGUGACCGGCCACACUGGGACUGAGACACGGCCCAGACUCCUACGGGAGGCAGCAGUAGGGAAUCUUCCGCAAUGGGCGAAAGCCUGACGGAGCGACGCCGCGUGAGCGAAGAAGGCCUUCGGGUCGUAAAGCUCUGUUGUGAGGGACGAAGGAACGCCGUUCGAAGAGGGCGGCGCGGUGACGGUACCUCACGAGAAAGCCCCGGCUAACUACGUGCCAGCAGCCGCGGUAA
rnacentral:rRNA from 1 species